rnacentral:rRNA from 1 species
UACGGGGGGAGCAAGCGUUGUUCGGAUUUACUGGGCGUAAAGGGCGCGUAGGCGGCCACCGCAAGUCGGUUGUGAAAUCUCUGGGCUUAACCCAGAAAGGUCAACCGAUACUGCGGGGCUAGAGUGCAGAAGGGGCAACUGGAAUUCUCGGUGUAGCGGUGAAAUGCGUAGAUAUCGAGAGGAACACCUGCGGCGAAGGCGGGUUGCUGGGCUGACACUGACGCUGAAGCGCGAAAGCUAGGGGAGCGAACGGGG